UCUGGCUUCUGGUCUACGACUAGGACUACUCCUUGAUUUGUGCAAUCGACUUACCUGGUUUCUUCAGUGGCAGCUGGAGCCCAGAGUCAAAUCCCAACACAACCGGAAGGCACGGCGCUUGACAGUGAUGUGUGUUCGUAUUGGUAUAUGUGUGCAGUAUAAUGUGUGGCCUUCAAAGCUCUUCUGACUGCUCAGAGGCAGCGAGAGACGGAGGGCAAAAAGAGAAAGACAGAAGAAGAAAAUGAAGGAAUAAAUAGGAUGGAGGUUUUAAUUAAAGGGACCCCCUGGAGAGAGGGAACACUGCAUACCCCGACAGAUAUGACUGCUGAGGAAAGAAAGGCAGAUGGUUACAGAAAUGAAGUCUGGAAACCGGGUUAUAUUUAUUACUGGCAAGACCAUUAGUGCUGUGGAGAAGGAUCAGUAUCUGGGGUCAUGGUCAUGUGACCUUGUUAACUUCAGAAGCACCUUGUACAGUUCUCUGAUACCAAACUGCUGUAAAAC